UACGUAGGUGGCAAGCGUUGUCCGGAAUUAUUGGGCGUAAAGCGCGCGCAGGCGGCCUUUUAAGUCUGAUGUGAAAGCCCACGGCUCAACCGUGGAAGGUCAUUGGAAACUGAAAGGCUUGAGUACAGAAGAGGAAAGCGGAAUUCCACGUGUAGCGGUGAAAUGCGUAGGGAUGUGGAGGAACACCAGUGGCGAAGGCGGCUUUCUGGUCUGUAACUGACGCUGAGGCGCGAAAGCGUGGGGAGCAAACAGG
rnacentral:rRNA from 1 species